rnacentral:tRNA from 1 species
AACAAAAUGAUGUGCCUGAAAAAGGAUUAUUUUGAUAGAAUAAAACAUGCAAAUUUGCCUUCAUUA